rnacentral:piRNA from 1 species
UGAUGACUGAUGACCGAUGAU